rnacentral:rRNA from 1 species
AAUCAACGCUGGCGGCGUGCCUCAGACAUGCAAGUCGAACGCGAAACCUUCCUUCGGGAGGGGAGUAGAGUGGCGCACGGGUGAGUAACACGUAGGUAAUUUGCCUUCGGGUGGGGAAGUAACAGCCGGAACGGCUGCUAAUACCGCAUAAUGCAGCGGCUCGACAUCGAGACAGUUGUUAAAGCGGGGGAGUUCGCAAGAACCUCGCGCCUGAAGAGAAGCCUGCGGCAGAUUAGCUAGUUGGUAGGGUAAUGGCCUACCAAGGCGACGAUCUGUAACCGGCCUGAGAGGGCGGUCGGUCACACUGACACUGACAUACGGGUCAGACUCCUACGGGAGGCAGCAGUCGGG